rnacentral:rRNA from 1 species
GAUGAACGCUGGCGGCGUGCCUAAUACAUGCAAGUCGAGCGAACGGACGAGAAGCUUGCUUCUCUGAUGUUAGCGGCGGACGGGUGAGUAACACGUGGAUAACCUACCUAUAAGACUGGUAUAACUUCGGGAAACCGGAGCUAAUACCGGAUAAUAUUUUGAACCGCAUGGUUCAAAAGUGAAAGACGGUCUUGCUGUCACUUAUAGAUGGAUCCGCGCUGCAUUAGCUAGUUGGUAAGGUAACGGCUUACCAAGGCAACGAUGCAUAGACGACCUGAGAGGGUGAUCGGCCACACUGGAACUGAGACACGGACCAGACUCCUACGGGAGGCAGCAGUAGGGAAUCGUCCGCAGUGGGCGAAAGCCUGACGGAGCAGCGCCGCGUGAGUGAUGAAGGUCUUCGGAUCGUAAAACUCUGUUAUUAGGGAAGAACAUAUGUGUAAGUAACUGUGCACAGAUUGACGGUACCUAAUCAGAAAGCCCCGGCUAACUACGUG